UACGUAGGGUGCGAGCGUUCGUCGGAAUACUGGGCGUAAAGAGCUCGUAGGUGGUUUGUCGCGUUGUUCGUGAAAACUCACAGCUUAACUGUGGGCGUGCGGGCGAUACGGGCAGACUGGAGUACUGCAGGGGAGACUGGAAUUCCUGGUGUAGCGGUGGAAUGCGCAGAUAUCAGGAGGAACACCGGUGGCGAAGGCGGUUCUCUGGGGCAUGUCCUGACGGCUGAGGAGCGAAAGUGUGGGGGAGCGAACAGGG
rnacentral:rRNA from 1 species